rnacentral:rRNA from 1 species
AUACAGGAGGCAGCAGUGGGGAAUAUUGGGCAAUGGGCGAAAGCCUGACCCAGCAACGCCGCGUGUGCGAUGAGGGCCUUCGGGUCGUAAAGCACUUUUCUGAGAGAUGAGCAAGGACAGUAUCUCAGGAAUAAGUCUCGGCUAACUACGUGCCAGCAGCCGCGGUAAAACGUAGGAGACAAGCGUUAUCCGGAUUUACUGGGCGUAAAGCGCGUGCAGGCGGUUCAGCAAGUUGGAUGUGAAAGCUCUUGGCUCAACUAAGAGAGGUCGUUCAAUACUACUGGACUUGAGGGCAUCAGAGGAAGAUGGAAUUCCCGGUGUAGUGGUGAAAUGCGUAGAUAUCGGGAGGAACACCAGUGGCGGAGGCGGUCUUCUGGGAUGCAUCUGACGCUCAGACGCGAAAGCUAGGGCAGCAAACGGGAUUAGAUACCCUGGUAGUCCC